rnacentral:tRNA from 1 species
GCGCGAGUGGCGGAAUGGCAGACGCGCCACACUUAGGAUGUGGUGUCUUAGGACGUGGGGGUUCAAGUCCCCCCUCGCGCACCA